rnacentral:rRNA from 1 species
CGAUAGCGUAUAUUAAAGUUGUUGCAGUUAAAAAGCUCGUAGUUGGAUUUGUGGCGUACGGUGGGUUCCGGGCACUUGUUGUCUGAGUAACUUGCUGUUGCCAUCCUUGGGUGGAACCUGUGUGGCAUUAGGUUGUCGUGCAGGGGAUGCCCAUCAUUUACUGUGAAAAAAUUAGAGUGUUCAAAGCAGGCUUAUGCCGUUGAAUAUAUUAGCAUGGAAUAAUGAGAUAGGACUUUUUUGCUAUUUUGUUGGUUUGCGCAAAGAGGUAAUGAUUAAUAGGGACAGUUGGGGGUAUUCGUAUUCCAUUGUCAGAGGUGAAAUUCUUGGAUUUUUGGAAGACGAACUACUGCGAAAGCAUUUACCAAGGAUGUUUUCAUUAA